UAGGGUGGUUUUAGCGGUGGAGCUCACCUGUUCCCAUUCCGAACACAGAAGUUAAGCCCACCAGCGCCGAUGGUACUGCGAAAGCGGGAGAGUAGGUCGCCGCCAGUU
rnacentral:rRNA from 1 species